rnacentral:misc_RNA from 1 species
GAUGAAGAACGCAGCGAAAUGCGAUAAGUAGUGUGAAUUGCAGAAUUCAGUGAAUCGUCGAAUCUUUGAACGCACAUUGCGCCCUUUGGUAUUCCUUAGGGCAUGCCUGUUCGAGCGUCAUUUAAACCUUCAAGCUCAGCUUGGUGUUGGGUGACUGUCCGCUUCACCGCGGACUCGCCUCAAAAUUAUUGGCGGCCGGUACAUUGGCUUCGAGCGCAGCAGAAACGCGAACUCGGGCCCGUCGUAUUGGCUCCCAGAAGCUAUCUUCACAAUUUUGACCUCGGAUCAGGUAGGGAUACCCGCUGAACUUAAGCAUAUCAAUAAGCGGAGGA